AAGACCUUGCGCUUUUGGAGCGGCCGAUGCCUGAUUAGCUUGUUGGUGAGGUAAAAGCUCACCAAGGCUUCGAUCAGUAGCUGGUCUGAGAGGACGACCAGCCACACUGGGACUGAGACACGGCCCAGACUCCUACGGGAGGCAGCAGUGGGGAAUUUUGGACAAUGGGGGCAACCCUGAUCCAGCCAUGCCGCGUGAGUGAAGAAGGCCUUCGGGUUGUAAAGCUCUUUCAGCCGGAACGAAACGGUCACGACUAAUACCUGUGACUAAUGACGGUACCGGAAGAAGAAGCACCGGCUAACUACGUGCCAGCAGCCGCGGUAAUACGUAGGGUGCGAGCGUUAAUCGGAACUACUGGGCGUAAAGCGUGCGCAGGUGGUUUUGUAAGUCAGAUGUGAAAUCCCCGGGCUUAACCUGGGAACU
rnacentral:rRNA from 1 species